rnacentral:misc_RNA from 1 species
CGGAAUCUCUGCAUCUGCUUG